AGUCUUAGUGGCGGCAGCUAACGCACUAAGUUGACCGCCUGGGGAGUACGGACGCAAAGUUUAAAACUCAAAUGAAUUGACGGGGGGCCCGCACAAGCGGUGGAGCAUGUGGUUUAAUUCGAUGCGACGCGAAAGAACCUUACCAAUCCUUGACAUCCAGAGAAGCUAGAAGAGAUUUUAGUGUGCCUUCGGGAAACUCUGUGACAGGUGCUGCAUGGCUGUCGUCAGCUCGUGUUGUGAAAUGUUGGGUUAAGUCCCGUAACGAGCGCAACCCCUAUCCUUAGUUACCAGCGAUUCGGUCGGGAACUCUAGGGAGACUGCCGGUGACAAACCGGAGGAAGGUGGGGACGACGUCAAGUCAUCAUGGCCCUUACGGAUUGGGCUACACACGUGCUACAAUGGGGUAUACAGAGGGUUGCGAAGUCGCGAGGCGGAGCUAAUCUCAGAAAGUACCUCGUAGUCCGGAUCGGAGUCUGCAACUCGACUCCGUGAAGUCGGAAUCGCUAGUAAUCGCGGAUCAGAAUGCCGCGGUGAAUACGUUCCCGGGCCUUGUACACACCGCCCGUCACACCAUGGGAGUGGGUUGCACCAGAAGUAGCUAGCUUAAAAUUGGGCGGUUACCACGGUGUGAUUCAUGACUGGGGUG
rnacentral:rRNA from 1 species